AGAGUUCGAUUCUGGCUCAGGAUGAACGCUGGCGGCGUGCUUAACACAUGCAAGUCGAACGGGAAACCUUUUAUUGAAGCUUCGGCAGAUUUAGCUGGUUUCUAGUGGCGGACGGGUGAGUAACGCGUGGGUAACCUGCCUUAUACAGGGGGAUAACAGUCAGAAAUGACUGCUAAUACCGCAUAAGCGCACAGGACCGCAUGGUCCGGUGUGAAAAACUCCGGUGGUAUAAGAUGGACCCGCGUUGGAUUAGCUCGUUGGUGAGGUAACGGCUCACCAAGGCAACGAUCCAUAGCCGGCCUGAGAGGGUGAACGGCCACAUUGGGACUGAGACACGGCCCAG
rnacentral:rRNA from 1 species